rnacentral:lncRNA from 1 species
ACAACGAGAUAAUAUUCAAGUGAAUCUCAACACUGUAUCCUAACACAGAAAAUGAGCCUGCAGUUAUUAUAGCAAUAAUAAUUUAUUGGUCUCAUCACCAUGAGAGUCGUGAACAAAUUUCUCUUACAUGUUUCCUCACCAACUGCUCUAUCAAUGUCUUUUCUGAGCUUUGCUGUUUCAACUCGCACAUGGGAUGAAUUGGGAGUGAACCGACCAAAGACGGUGAAGCUAUCCAACGGUGAUUGUGGUAUUUGCCGCAUGGACGAGAUUACUCUCUUUGCAUCCGUUAGAAACACAUAGGCAAUGGUUCAUCGGAGACGACGAGAUUCCCCAGUUAGCAGCGACAUCGCUUCCGAUUAUGGAUUUAUGGGAGAUCGAAAUUCUUCUAUGCAAUUAAGUUAUCGCAUCCACCAAUUAAAUUUUUUUCAAUCUGAUAUUUAGAAUGUGAGAUAUGAGAGAGGAGAGAGGUAGAAGAAGGAUUUUUGGUCCAAGAGGAUGAAAGGUUUUCACGGCGG